rnacentral:rRNA from 1 species
UACGUAGGGGCGAGCGUUAUCCGGGAUUAUUGGGCGUAAAGAGUGCGUAGGUGGUCUUGUAAGCGUGGGUGAAAGACAGUGGCUUAACCAUUGUAAGCCUUGCGAACUGUGAGACUUGAGUGCAGGAGAGGAAAGUGGAAUUCCUAGUGUAGCGGUGAAAUGCGUAGAUAUUAGGAGGAACAUCAGUGGCGAAGGCGACUUUCUGGACUGUAACUGACACUGAGGCACGAAAGCGUGGGGAGGCAAACAGGAUUAGAUACCCUGGUA